rnacentral:rRNA from 1 species
AACGAACGCUGGCGGCAGGCUUAACACAUGCAAGUCGAGCGAGGACUUCGGUCCUAGCGGCGGUCGGGUGAGUAACGCGGGGGAAUGUGCCCUUCUCUAAGGAACAGUCCAGGGAAACUGGGCGUAAUAACGCAUACGCUCUUACGGGGUAAGAUCUUUCGGAGAAGGAUCAGCCCGCGUUGGAUUAGGUAGUUGGUGGGGUAAUGGCCUGCCAUCCCGACGAUCCAUAGCUGGUUUGUGAGGAUGACUAGCAGCACUGGGACUGAGGCACGGCCCAGUCUCCGACGGAGGGCAGCAGUAGAGAGUCUUAGGCGAUGAAGGCAAACCUAGUCAAGCCAUGCGGCGGAUGAGGUGAAUGCCUUAGUAUUGUGAUGCUCUUUCUGCUGAGGAGAUAGUGACGGUACCGGCUAAAGAAGCCCCGGCUAACUCCGUG